rnacentral:rRNA from 1 species
GGGUAACCUGCCUCUUAGCGGGGGAUAACUAUUGGAAACGAUAGCUAAUACCGCAUAAAAGUCGAUAUCGCAUGAUGUUGAUUUGAAAGGUGCAAUUGCAUCACUAAGAGAUGGACCUGCGUUGUAUUAGCUAGUUGGUGAGGUAACGGCUCACCAAGGCGACGAUACAUAGCCGACCUGAGAGGGUGAUCGGCCACACUGGGACUGAGACACGGCCCAG